rnacentral:lncRNA from 1 species
AAAAUUUGUAAUAGUAAGAAUGCACUAUUUCAAUACUUGUAUCAAAGCGUUAUUCCCAUCUAUCUUUUACUAUUUCCUUUCACAAAGCGACAUCGCUUUUAACUAUUCUACUAUUGUUUUUUUUUUUUGUAAAUUAUUCUACUAUUGCUUAUAGUUUCUCUUAUCCACUAAAAAGAAUAAGAAUAUCGCUUUUUAUUAUUACUGGAACUCUCAAUAUUUGCAUAUUCUUGGACUAUAGUACAUACAACAAUGAUGAAC